rnacentral:rRNA from 1 species
CAGCCGCCGCGGGAAAACGGAGGGAGCUAGCGUUGUUCGGAAUUACUGGGCGUAAAGCGCACGUAGGCGGCUUUGUAAGUUAGAGGUGCAAGCCUGGAGCUCAACUCCAGAAUUGCCUUUAAGACUGCAUCGCUUGAAUCCAGGAGAGGUGAGUGGAAUUCCGAGUGUAGAGGUGAAAUUCGUAGAUAUUCGGAAGGACACCAGUGGCGAAGGCGGCUCACUGGACUGGUAUUGACGCUGAGGUGCGAAAGCGUGGGGAGCAAACAGGAUUAGAUACCCCCGUAGUCCCUGUCUCUUAUAC